rnacentral:tRNA from 1 species
GGGGAUGUAGCUCAGUUGGCUAGAGCGUUUGACUGGCAGUCAAAAGGUCGGGAGUUCGAUUCUCCUCUUCUCCACCA